CCUACGGGUGGCUGCAGUGGGGAAUAUUGGACAAUGGGGGCAACCCUGAUCCAGCCAUGCCGCGUGUGUGAAGAAGGCCCUCGGGUUGUAAAGCACUUUCAGUGAGGAAGAACGCCUGGUGGUUAAUACCCAUCAGGAAAGACAUCACUCACAGAAGAAGCACCGGCUAACUCCGUGCCAGCAGCCGCGGUAAUACGGAGGGUGCGAGCGUUAAUCGGAAUUACUGGGCGUAAAGCGCGCGUAGGUGGCUUGAUAAGCCGGUUGUGAAAGCCCCGGGCUCAACCUGGGAACGGCAUCCGGAACUGUCAAGCUAGAGUGCAGGAGAGGAAGGUAGAAUUCCCGGUGUAGCGGUGAAAUGCGUAGAGAUCGGGAGGAAUACCAGUGGCGAAGGCGGCCUUCUGGACUGACACUGACACUGAGGUGCGAAAGCGUGGGUAGCAACCAGGAUUAGAUACCCCUGUAGUC
rnacentral:rRNA from 1 species